GUACUAUGUUGGUGCAUAGUUCAGCAGAUUGAAUCUUGAAGGAAUCUACCAGCUGUCUGAUGUU
rfam:Tupaia chinensis contig39821, whole genome shotgun sequence.